rnacentral:rRNA from 1 species
UACAGAGGUCUCAAGCGUUGUUCGGAUUCAUUGGGCGUAAAGGGUGCGUAGGUGGCGCCAUAAGUCGGGUGUGAAAUCUCGGGGCUUAACUCCUAAACUGCAUUCGAUACUGUGGUGCUUGAGGACUGGAGAGGAGACUGGAAUUCAUGGUGUAGCAGUGAAAUGCGUAGAGAUCAUGAGGAAGACCAGUGGCGAAGGCGGGUCUCUGGGCCGAUACUGACGCUGAGGAGCGAAGGUCAGGGGAGCAAACGGG